AUACUGUUGAAGAGUCCCAAACUAGGAUGAAACAGCUGUCCAGUAC
rnacentral:hammerhead_ribozyme from 1 species